rnacentral:rRNA from 1 species
CCUACGGGAGGCUGCAGUGGGGAAUAUUGCGCAAUGGGGGAAACCCUGACGCAGCAACGCCGCGUGGAGGAAGAAGGUCUUCGGAUUGUAAACUCCUGUCUUCAGGGACGAUAAUGACGGUACCUGAGGAGGAAGCCACGGCUAACUACGUGCCAGCAGCCGCGGUAAUACGUAGGUGGCGAGCGUUGUCCGGAAUUACUGGGCGUAAAGGGCGCGUAGGCGGUUUUUUAAGUUAGAUGUGAAAACCCAGGGCUUAACUUUGGGCGUGCAUUUAAAACUGGAGAACUUGAGUGCAGGAGAGGUAAGUGGAAUUCCUAGUGUAGCGGUGAAAUGCGUAGAUAUUAGGAGGAACACCAGUGGCGAAGGCGACUUACUGGACUGUAACUGACGCUGAGGCGCGAAAGCGUGGGGAGCAAACAGGAUUAGAUACCCGUGUAGUC